rnacentral:rRNA from 1 species
AGUAAUGUCUGGGAAACUGCCUGAUGGAGGGGGGUAACUACUGGAAACGGUAGCUAAUACCGCAUAAUGUCGCAAGACCAAAGUGGGGGACCUUCGGGCCUCAUGCCAUCAGAUGUGCCCAGAUGGGGUUAGCUAGUAGGUGGGGUAACGGCUCACCUAGGCGACGAUCCCUAGCUGGUCUGAGAGGAUGACCAGCCACACUGGAACUGAGACACGGUCCAG